CGCGGCCUAUCAGCUUGUUGGUGGGGUAGUGGCUUACCAAGGCUUUGACGGGUAGCCGGCCUGAGAGGGUGACCGGCCACAUUGGGACUGAGAUACGGCCCAGACUCCUACGGGAGGCGGCAGUGGGGAAUAUUGCACAAUGGGCGGAAGCCUGAUGCAGCAACGCCGCGUGCGGGAUGACGGCCUUCGGGUUGUAAACCGCUUUCGCCUGUGACGAAGCGUGAGUGACGGUAAUGGGUAAAGAAGCACCGGCUAACUACGUGCCAGCAGCCGCGGUGAUACGUAGGGUGCGAGCGUUGUCCGGAUUUAUUGGGCGUAAAGGGCUCGUAGGUGGUUGAUCGCGUCGGAAGUGUAAUCUUGGGGCUUAACCCUGAGCGUGCUUUCGAUACGGGUUGACUUGAGGAAGGUAGGGGAGAAUGGAAUUCCUGGUGGAGCGGUGGAAUGCGCAGAUAUCAGGAGGAACACCAGUGGCGAAGGCGGUUCUCUGGGCCUUUCCUGACGCUGAGGAGCGAAAGCGUGGGGAGCGGACAGGCUUAGAUACCCUGGUAGUCCACGCUGUAAACGGUGGGUACUAGGUGUGGGGUCCAUUCCACGGGUUCCGUGCCGUAGCUAACGCUUUAAGUACCCCGCCUGGGGAGUACGG
rnacentral:rRNA from 1 species